UACGUAGGGGGCAAGCGUUGUCCGGAUUUAUUGGGCGUAAAGAGCGUGUAGGCGGCCAGGUAGGUCUGCUGUGAAAACUCGAGGCUUAACCUCGAGCUGUCGGCGGAAACCAUCUGGCUAGAGUCCGGAAGAGGAGAAUGGAAUUCCCGGUGUAGCGGUGAAAUGCGCAGAUAUCGGGAAGAACACCCGUGGCGAAGGCGGUCUCUGGACGGUACUGACGCUG
rnacentral:rRNA from 1 species